GGCGAAGAUGAAGAGUGCUUUUUUUUUAUAAUUUCUGACACCUCUUGUAUGAGAAAAGCUUUUUAAAAGCUUUUUUUUUAGCAGAGAUAGCAAACACUCUGAGCC